ACGUACACUCCUACGGGAGGCAGCAGUGAGGAAUAUUGGACAAUGGGUGGAAGCCUGAUCCAGCCAUCCCGCGUGCAGGAAGACGGCCCUAUGGGUUGUAAACUGCUUUUAUCUGGGGAUAAACCUACUUACGUGUAAGUAGCUGAAGGUACCAGAAGAAUAAGCACCGGCUAACUCCGUGCCAGCAGCCGCGGUAAUACGGAGGGUGCAAGCGUUAUCCGGAUUUAUUGGGUUUAAAGGGUCCGUAGGCGGACUGAUAAGUCAGUGGUGAAAUCCGACAGCUUAACUGUCGAACUGCCAUUGAUACUGUUAGUCUUGAGUAAGGUUGAAGUGGCUGGAAUAAGUAGUGUAGCGGUGAAAUGCAUAGAUAUUACUUAGAACACCAAUUGCGAAGGCAGGUCACUAAGUCUUAACUGACGCUGAUGGACGAAAGCGUGGGGAGCGAACAGGAUUAGAAACCCCAGUAGUCCCAUGAU
rnacentral:rRNA from 1 species